rnacentral:rRNA from 1 species
AUUGACCCUUCGGGUGAUUUGUUGGGCGGCGAGCGGCGGACGGGUGAGUAAUGCCUGGGAACAUGCCUUAGUGUGGGGGAUAACCAUUGGAAACGAUGGCUAAUACCGCAUAAUGUCUUCGGAGCAAAGCGGGGGACCUUCGGGCCUCGCGCGCUAAGAUUGGCCCAGGUGGGAUUAGCUAGUAGGUGGGGUAACGGCUCACCUAGGCGACGAUCCCUAGCUGGUCUGAGAGGAUGAUCAGCCACACUGGAACUGAGACACGGUCCAGACUCCUACGGGAGGCAGCAGUGGGGAAUAUUGCACAAUGGGGGACACCCUGAUGCAGCCAUGCCGCGUGUGUGAAGAAGGCCUUCGGGUUGUAAAGCACUUUCAGCAGUGAGGAAGAGUUGGUGUUUAAUAGAUGCCAUCUUUGACGUUAGCUGCAGAAGAAGCACCGGCUAACUCCGUGCCAGCAGCCGCGGUAAUACGGAGGGUGCGAGCGUUAAUCGGAAUUACUGGGCGUAAAGCGCAUGCAGGCGGCGUGUUAAGCCAGAUGUGAAAGCCCGGGGCUCAACCUCGGAAUCGCAUUUGGAACUGGCAGGCUAGAGUCUUGUAGAGGGG